CACCUCCUUCACAUUUUUUGUCUUGCCACAAUUAGGAAUGGAUUCAAAAACCAAGAGGCAACGCUAUACAAGGCAGUGGAAAUAUGCACGGAGAUCACUGCAUGAAAGGUGUAUUGGAGAGGAGUCAUCACUUCAUCCAGUAACACUUCAAGAAAGAAUUAAUGAAGAACAU